rnacentral:rRNA from 1 species
CGGAGGAUCCAAGCGUUAUCCGGAUUUAUGGGUUUAAGGGGUGCGUAGGCGGCCUGUUAAGUCAGGGGUGAAAGACGGUAGCUCAACUAUCGCAGUGCCCUUGAUACUGAUGGGCUUGAAUGUACUAGAGGUAGGCGGAAUGUGACAAGUAGCGGUGAAAUGCAUAGAUAUGUCACAGAACACCAAUUGCGAAGGCAGCUUACUAUGGUAUGAUUGACGCUGAGGCACGAAAGCGUGGGGAUCAAACAGGAUUAGAUACCCUGGUAGUCCACGCCCUAAACGAUGAAUACUCGAUGUUAGCGAUAUACAGUUAGCGUCAAAGCGAAAGCGUUAAGUAUUCCACCUGGGGAGUACGCCCGCAAGGGUG